UACGGGGGGGGCAAGCGUUGUUCGGAAUUACUGGGCGUAAAGGGCUCUUAGGCGGCCAACUAAGUCAGACGUGAAAUCCCUCGGCUUAACCGGGGAACUGCGUCUGAUACUGGAUGGCUUGAGUUUGGGAGAGGGAUGCGGAAUUCCAGGUGUAGCGGUGAAAUGCGUAGAUAUCUGGAGGAACACCGGUGGCGAAGGCGGCAUCCUGGACCAACACUGACGCUGAGUGAGCGAAAGCCAGGGGAGCAAACGGG
rnacentral:rRNA from 1 species